AGAGUGACGCGAGUCAGAAGGGACUUGGCUGUUGCCUACUGCAGGAGAAUCAGCCGGUAAGCUUUGCUCCACGGGCACUUACUCAGACGGAGCGGAACUAUGCACAAAUCGAAAAGGAAUGUCUGAGCAUAGUGUUCGCGUGUCAGCAAUUUCAUUACUAUUUGUAUGGGCGGGGGGAGAUCACAGCGGAAACCGACCACAAGCCACUCAUCUCCAUUUUCACCAAGCCACUCCUCUCAGCGCCCAAACGACUCCAGAGCAUGCUGCUCACACUACAGGGCUACUGAAGGUGGUGUACAAGCCAGGGCCCGACAUGCACAUCAGUGACACCUUGAGUAGGGCCACGGCUUCACCGCAGGGGCCUGGCACGAGAUAUACGAAACAAACUGUUUGCUGCAUGCAGAGAGCACAAGUGGACGCUGAACAGAUAAAUCAGGCUGAGCAUCUGAACGUCACCAGCUCAGAAUGGAUCGCCUCUACAUACACCUGUGCCAGGGCGCAGGACGGCCAGUGGCAGGCUUGUAAGAGUGCUGAAGAGACUGGACUUGUGAGUUGUGUAGGUACUGUGGGGCCUCGAGGUCAAUUGGGUUGUUGACGGAAACAAAUGUGUAAAAAAAAAAAAAACA